GUCCACGCUGUAAACGAUGAGCACUAGGUGUCGCGGGUAUUGACCCCUGCGGUGCCGACGCUAACGCAUUAAGUGCUCCGCCUGGGGAGUACGGUCGCAAGAUUAAAAACUCAAAAGGAAUUGACGGGGGCCCGCACAAGCGGUGGAGCAUGUGGUUCAAUUCGACGCAACGCGCAGAACCUUACCCGGGCUAGACAACGGUGGACCGCCCCAGAGAUGGGGCUUUCCCUUCGGGGACCGCCGGUUCAGGUGCUGCAUGGCUGUCGU
rnacentral:rRNA from 1 species